GACGAAGGUGGCGAGCGUUACUCGGAAUUACUAGGCGUAAAGCGUGAGCAGGCGGUUCGGUAAGUCUGUUGUGAAAGCCCCGGGCUCAACCCGGGGAGGCCAAUGGAUACUGCCGGACUUGAAUACGGGAGAGGUUACUGGAAUUCCUGGUGUAGCGGUGAAAUGCGUAGAUAUCAGGAGGAACACCGAAGGCGAAAGCAGGUAACUGGACCGUUAUUGACGCUGAGUCACGAAAGCCGGGGGAGCAAACAGG
rnacentral:rRNA from 1 species